AUUGAUUUUAUGCUUGCAUAAAUGAUUUUUUGGAUUCGGAGCGAGUGGCGAACUGGUGAGUAACACGUGGGUAACCUGCCCCGAAGCGGGGGAUAACAUUUGGAAACAAGUGCUAAUACCGCAUAAUUAGUUGGAACCGCAUGGUUCCAACUUGAAAGAUGGCUCUGCUAUCACUUUGGGAUGGACCCGCGCCGUAUUAGUUAGUUGGUGAGAUAAAAGCCCACCAAGACGAUGAUACGUAGCCGACCUGAGAGGGUAAUCGGCCACAUUGGGACUGAGACACGGCCCAGACUCCUACGGGAGGCAGCAGUAGGGAAUCUUCCACAAUGGACGAAAGUCUGAUGGAGCAACGCCGCGUGAGUGAUGAAGGUUUUCGGAUCGUAAAACUCUGUUGUUAAAGAAGAACAAGUGUUAGAGUAACCGUUAACACUUUGACGGUAUUUAACCAGAAAGCCACGGCUAACUACGUGCCAGCAGCCGCGGUAAUACGUAGGUGGCAAGCGUUGUCCGGAUUUAUUGGGCGUAAAGCGAGCGCAGGCGGUUUUGUAAGUCUGCUGUGAAAGCCCUCAGCUCAACUGAGGAAGUGCAGUGGAAACUACAAAACUUGAGUACAGAAGAGGAAAGUGGAACUCCAUGUGUAGCGGUGAAAUGCGUAGAUAUAUGGAAGAACACCAGUGGCGAAGGCGGCUUUCUGGUCUGUUACUGACGCUGAGGCUCGAAAGCAUGGGUAGCGAACAGGAUUAGAUACCCUGGUAGUCCAUGCCGUAAACGAUGAAUACUAGGUGUUGGAGGGUUUCCGCCCUUCAGUGCCGCAGCUAACGCAUUAAGUAUUCCGCCUGGGGAGUACGACCGCAAGGUUGAAACUCAAAGGAAUUGACGGGGGCCCGCACAAGUGGUGGAGCAUGUGGUUUAAUUCGAUGCUACGCGAAGAACCUUACCAGCUCUUGACAUCUUCUGCCAGCCCAAGAGAUUGGGCGUUCCCUUCGGGGACAGAAUGACAGGUGGUGCAUGGUUGUCGUCAGCUCGUGUCGUGAGAUGUUGGGUUAAGUCCCGCAACGGGCGCAACCCUUAUUAUUAGUUGCCAGCAUUUAGUUGGGCACUCUAGUGAGACUGUCGGUGAUAAA
rnacentral:rRNA from 1 species